UUAGCGACAGUUCUCUUACGUGUUGCUGAUAGCCGGCUAGCUAGCUAGCGCCGCUAGCACCACUAGCGUAUGACGACACUACGCAAUGACGACACCCGUCCUCCGCUUUGAAAUUGACCGUAGACAUGAUUUUCUGAGACAACGUGGCUAUCGUUUCACCGGUAACGCGUCUUUCCCCCCUCCUCCGCUUUGGACUUGAACUUACAGUGAUUUUCUGAAGUGUUUACUAAGACACACCGUAAGCUUUUACAAGGAUGCUAAAGCCAGUUAGCGGAUAGUCAGCUAAGGCGUUAACUACAGCAGCACUUUAAUACCUCAACUCUUGAUUCAGCCAAGGUAAGUGCCCCCCCUUAUAUUUUCUAUGUAUGCGUUCAGCUGAUAUUUAGAAAAAAAUAGGUGUGUUUAGCGCUGGAUGUCAUUUUAUUCCAGAGCUGUUGUUUGUAAUUAAAACUUUUAAGAUUAGAUGGUACAGUGUUUUUACUCCCUUCCAAACAGUAAAGUUCCUCUUUGUCUCUCAGUAGGAAAUUUAAACCAGACAGUACAAGGCUACAUUUCAGUGUUACAAGCCAAUCAGUUUGCUAAUUGUUCUGUGAGAUUUGUUUGCAAAGUUUAAGGUGUUAAGUAGGACUGUGAACAUCUGGGUCUGCUUGCUGCUGGCAUUCUGCCAGAGCCCCAGCAACAAGACCGCCUCCUAGCAACGAGACUGCCUGUCAGCCUUGCAAGGUACCCAAUUUUCCAAUUACUCUAUAACAAAACUGUUGUGGGCAACAAGACUGUCUCCUAAGUUUGCAAGCCAAUCACUUUGCCAAAUGUUCUUGUAAGAUUUGUUUGAAAAGUUUGACGUGUUAAGUAGGACUGUGAACAUCUGGGUUUGCUUGCUGCUGGCAUUCGACCAGCGUCUCAGCAACAACACUGCCUCCCAGCUUU